rnacentral:rRNA from 1 species
UACAGAGGGUGCGAGCGUUAAUCGGAAUUACUGGACGUAAAGCGCACGUAGGCGGCUUGGUAUGUCGGGUGUGAAAUCCCCGGGCUCAACCUGGGAACUGCAUCCGAAACUGCCUUGCUCGAGUAUGGGAGAGGGAAGUGGAAUUUCCGGUGUAGCGGUGAAAUGCGUAGAUAUCGGAAGGAACAUCAGUGGCGAAGGCGACUUCCUGGACCAAUACUGACGCUCAGGUGCGAAAGCGUGGGGAGCAAACAGG